CUCAGGCCUCCCUGCCACGGGGAUGCUGCUUUUUCUGCUCCAGGUGUUUCCACGAGGCGGGCAUGGAGUCUUCCCUGGAGAAGCGACAUACAGUGGAGAGACAGCGGAAGACACCAUGCGGUAAACACAGGAGCCUGCGAGAGAACCUCUGCCCAGCAUGAAUGAACGGCCAAGUGACACGAGUGACACUAUGAGCUUGGUGCCCUCUCCAUCCAGAGCCAGAGGUGUACACUGAUGCAUAGGAGGAUGCAGGACCUGCUGAUCUCCCAUCUCCACAGUCAGAGAAGACGCAGGAUGCUAACAGAC